UUAAUGCUUCUUAGAGGAACGAUGUGUGCCUAACGCAAGGAAGUUUAAGGCAACAACAGGUCUGUGAUGUCCUUAGAUAUACUAGGCUGCACGCGUGCUACACUGAUAUGUAAAACGAGUACUUAAAACUAUAUCUCUAUGGUAGUUAAUCAAAUUCUACGUAUGUUAGGGUAUAUUUUUCCUACACUGAAAUAGUGAAGGUAAUCUUUAUCAAUACAUAUCGUGAUGGGGAUAGAUUAUUGCAAUUAUUAAUCUUGAACGAGGAAUGCCUAGUAAGCAUGAUUCAUCAGAUUGUGCUGACUACGUCCCUGCCCUUUGUACACACCGCCCGUCGCUCCUACCGAUUGAAAGAUAUGAUGAAUUGUUCGGACAAUUAAAUAAGUACAAUUUUAUUUUUUUGGAAGGGCCGUAAAUCCUAUCUUUUAAAGGAAGGAGAAGUCGUAACAAGGUUUCCGUAGGUGAACCUGCGGAAGGAUCAUUU
rnacentral:rRNA from 1 species